rnacentral:tRNA from 1 species
GCCCGGGUGGCUCAGUCGGUUGAGCGUCCGACUUCGGCUCGGGUCAUGAUCUCACAGUUCGUGAGUUCAAGCCCCUCGUCCGGCU